UACGUAGGGUGCGAGCGUUGUCCGGAAUUAUUGGGCGUAAAGAGCUCGUAGGCGGUCUGUCGCGUCGAUCGUGAAAACUUGGGGCUUAACCCUGAGCUUGCGGUCGAUACGGGCAUGACUGGAGUUCGGCAGGGGAGACUGGAAUUCCUGGUGUAGCGGUGAAAUGCGCAGAUAUCAGGAGGAACACCGGUGGCGAAGGCGGCGACCUGGUCCAAUACUGACACUCAUACGCGAAAGCGUGGGGAUCAAACAGG
rnacentral:rRNA from 1 species